rnacentral:tRNA from 1 species
UAAAUUUUGAAAUGUAGGAACUCUCACGUUAUUUCCGAUCAUAGAACUCAGACCGGUUGAAAAAAAACUAUGGUCUCAGUAGAAAGUUUUUAAAAUAAACUAAAAAUUU